CACGGGGGGAGCAAGCGUUGUCCGGAUUUACUGGGCGUAAAGAGCAUGUAGGCGGAACAAUCAGUCAGUGGUGAAAUCUCUCAACUUAAAUGAGAGCGUGCCAUUGAAACUGUUGUUCUUGAGUGCGGAAGAGGGAAGUGGAAUUCCUGGUGUAGCGGUGAAAUGCGUAGAUAUCAGGAAGAACACCAGUAGCGAAGGCGGCUUCCUGGUCCGCAACUGACGCUGAGAUGCGAAAGCGUGGGGAGCAAACAGGAUUAGAUACCCGCGUA
rnacentral:rRNA from 1 species